AUGUUAUGCACCAACAACAGCCCCUUCUCUUUACCUUUAUCGUCUCAUACCUCAGUCCAUUGCUGGCUUGAAUGCUGUCUCUCUUCUUCUUUGCUCGUCAGAGUGAAUAAUAGGACGACCCACCGGGGGGAGGAUGGAAUGAGUCGGCAAGGGGAUCAACCAUCUUCUUUCAGUAAUGGCCCACACACUAUCCUUAAUAUUGGGAUAAAAGGACUCUGA
rnacentral:rRNA from 1 species